GCUUUUAUAGUGUAUAGCAUAAGAAAUUUUCAAUUUCUAGGAAUAAUUAAAAUUA
rnacentral:tRNA from 1 species